GUUUGUGUGGUGGAGCUCCUUUUAGUCCAAAUGAGGAUCUUGCUGUGUUGAUAGAGCUGCUUAGCUAUGGAUCCCUCAAUUCUACCCAUUUAUGUUUUGUGGUAGUUUUGUGGCUUCCAUAUUUAGGGAGCUUUAUCACCUAUAGUAUUAUCUUUCUUUGGAUUGAAGGGAGCUCUACACCUUACUUUU
rfam:Cicer arietinum chromosome Ca7, whole genome shotgun sequence.